rnacentral:lncRNA from 1 species
GCAUUCGAAUUAAAUUACAUUGAAAUUCAUGAAAAUAAGAAGAUCCUACUAUACUCCUAGUUCAAUUUUGAGUAUAUACCUAGUUACUUUCUAGAGCUGAAUGAAGAAGAGUAUUUAGAUGGGUUGUUUCUGUUCUGAGAAAGGGCCCUUAAGAGUGUGGUCGUUAGUGUUUAGAUGGCUUGGUAUUGGUUUUAUUACUCCAUCAAACUUUUUUCUACAUUUGGAAUGUUUUAUAGAGGAGGCUCAGUUGUAGAAGCUUAGAAGGAGUUAUUGGUUAAUUCGGCACUGGUUUGGGUUCUUCGGAAGGCAUGAAACGAUCAUAUAUUCAGGAAUAGGUUGUGUGUACUAGACAGAUACCUUAGUUGUUGCCGGGGGGUUGUCGUAGCUGCUUUUGUUUUUUAACUCAGUUUGUCAGUAUUUAGCUCUUCUGUGGUGUAUAUUCAGAGCAGGUGAAGGUUUUUUCUGUGUUCUGUUUUCAUGUGGCAGCGACUGUUUGUGCUAGUGCAGAUGGGUGCUUUUUGUUUUCCUUCCCCUUACGUUUUGUGGAACCUGCUGCUGUUUGUUGGGAAGUUUUUUUCUGUGUUAUGUUUUAGCAGGGGCAUGCUUCUGUUAUUGUUUUCUUGUUGUAGGUUAGGGCCACCUGUUUUGGCAGCCGUCUCUAUUUGUUAUACGGAGUUUUUUAGGGGCGUUACGCGUAUAGGUGGCACUUUUGUUUUGUUUCCUCAACGUGUAAACUUGGUCUCUAAUAAAUUUUCACUGUUUCGAAAAGAAAAAAAGUUACAGAUACUAUAUAGCCUAUUUGCAGAUGCAAAACUUAGAUUAUAUGUAUG